ACCCUAGAUCUAAAUUUGACUCUCACACCAGAUGCCUCUCCAACUCUCUUCCUUAGAUCUGAAUCUCAGUCCAGCGAUCUUAAUCGUCACUUCCUUGUAAGCCCUAAAUCUCGUUGAUCUGAACCAGUACUUCGUCGAUCUCGUUGAUUCAUGACGGCGAGUGGAGAGAAGUCAUCAUCAUCGACGAUAGUUAAGAGGAAUCACAUCGCCGGCAACCGAACUCAUCAUCGCCGAUUCGCCGAUUGUUUCCAAUGGACACUCCUAAUGCAAGCAACUCCGAUUGGAUUUUGGGCUAUCUUAAUUGGAAGAUUAUGUCUUUAAUUUCGAACUACGAAUUGUCUUUAUUUGCCUUUUUUGAACAUCUUAGAUUCUUAGUAUUUGGUUUGUAUUAAGACUUUAAUUUGACUAGACUUGAAUUUGGGAGAUGAUUUGUUACUGUUGGGAGAUGUACUGUUGUAGUAUUAUUAAGACUUGAAUUUGAUUU